rnacentral:misc_RNA from 1 species
GAAGUAAGUGAUCUAGAAAG